GAGAGAGGUGUGAUUACAACAAUUACUGCUAAUAAUUGUGCUUUUGGUUUGACUCCAGGACUCACUCA
rnacentral:tRNA from 1 species